rnacentral:rRNA from 1 species
GAGUUUGAUCCUGGCUCAGAUUGAACGCUGGCGGCAUGCCUUACACAUGCAAGUCGAACGGCAGCACGGGAGCAAUCCUGGUGGCGAGUGGCGAACGGGUGAGUAAUGUAUCGGAACGUACCAUUGAGUGGGGGAUAACGUAGCGAAAGUUACGCUAAUACCGCAUAUUCUCUCCGGAGGAAAGCAGGGGACCGCAAGGCCUUGCGCUCUUUGAGCGGCCGAUAUCAGAUUAGCUAGUUGGUGGGGUAAAAGCUCACCAAGGCGACGAUCUGUAGCGGGUCUGAGAGGGUGAUCCGCCACACUGGAACUGAGACACGGUCCAGACUCCUACGGGAGGCAGCAGUGGGGAAUUUUGGACAAUGGUGGCAACCCUGAUCCAGCCAUGCCGCGUGAGUGAAGAAGGCCUUCAGGUUGUAAAGCUCUUUAAGAAAGGGAACACUACGCACUCUCUAAUACAAGGUGUGGAUGACAGUACCAGAAUCAGAAACACCGGCUACCUGCGU